ACGCUGGCGGCGUGCCUAACACAUGCAAGUCGAGCGGAGAAUGCAGAUAUGUUUACAUAGAAGUAUUCUUAGCGGCGGACGGGUGAGUAACACGUGGGUAACCUGCCUCAUAGAGGGGAAUAGCCUUUCGAAAGGAAGAUUAAUACCGCAUAAGAUUGUAGUAUCGCAUGAUACAGCAAUUAAAGGAGUAAUCCGCUAUGAGAUGGACCCGCGUCGCAUUAGCUAGUUGGUGAGGUAACGGCUCACCAAGGCGACGAUGCGUAGCCGACCUGAGAGGGUGAUCGGCCACAUUGGGACUGAGACACGGCCCAGACUCCUACGGGAGGCAGCAGUGGGGAAUAUUGCACAAUGGGGGAAACCCUGAUGCAGCAACGCCGCGUGAGUGAUGACGGUCUUCGGAUUGUAAAACUCUGUCUUCAGGGACGAUAAUGACGGUACCUGAGGAGGAAGCCACGGCUAACUACGUG
rnacentral:rRNA from 1 species